rnacentral:tRNA from 2 species
GGACCAUUAGCUCAGUUGGUUAGAGCAAACGGCUCAUAACCGUUCGGUCACAGGUUCGAGUCCUGUAUGGUCCAUCA